rnacentral:ncRNA from 1 species
CGGCUUCACUACGGGCGCCGAGUCGAGCGGAGGACACCCGCGAUGUCCAACCUUUUCUUCCGCCAAGCUCCUACAUAGGUAGCUUGGCUGGGAAUCAAAAGAGACAUUGCGGCCUCUUGCUAGGACGAAGCUGAGAAGUACCGUUUAAACUCGAUCAAGAUAAUACUUGCGUGAGGAAUGUGCUGCCGCUGAUAA